ACCUUCUCAUGAGCUCCUCUUAAUCUUUCAAUGAUUUUGUGGAUUCGCACGAGAAGAAGAGUUAAUGCACAGCUAAACGGGGUCAUUCUUGUGGAUGUUGCCUAUGUCUGAUGUGCAACAACA
rnacentral:snoRNA from 1 species